rnacentral:rRNA from 1 species
GACGAACGCUGGCGGCGUGCUUAACACAUGCAAGUCGAACGGAAAGGCCCUGCUUUUGUGGGGUGCUCGAGUGGCGAACGGGUGAGUAACACGUGAGUAACCUGCCCUUGACUUUGGGAUAACUUCAGGAAACUGGGGCUAAUACCGGAUAGGAGCUCCUGCUGCAUGGUGGGGGUUGGAAAGUUUCGGCGGUUGGGGAUGGACUCGCGGCUUAUCAGCUUGUUGGUGGGGUAGUGGCUUACCAAGGCUUUGACGGGUAGCCGGCCUGAGAGGGUGACCGGCCACAUUGGGACUGAGAUACGGCCCAGACUCCUACGGGAGGCAGCAGUGGGGAAUAUUGCACAAUGGGCGGAAGCCUGAUGCAGCAACGCCGCGUGCGGGAUGACGGCCUUCGGGUUGUAAACCGCUUUCGCCUGUGACGAAGCGUGAGUGACGGUAAUGGGGAAAGGAGCACCGGCUAACUACGU